UUGUUUGUUUAUUAAACUGUUUGAAGACUUUUUCAACUUUGUAACAUGAUACAACUACUAAGCUGAAUUGGCAAACAGUAAAAUGUAACAUCGCUCUCAUCCUUGACACAUGCAAAAUCAGCCUGUGGAGGUUCAUAUUAUAGACCUGACUCUAUUGGUUAAAAGGAAGUCUAUGCAAAUCCAUCCUGUUAUUAUUUGCUCUACAUAAAAUCAUCUUGUUGCUCAGCUAAAGCUCAUAUCAUCAAACUGAAUUACAGAACUUCUAAACAUCACAGAGUUUGAUUAUGGGGCGAAGCGUCAUUCAGCAGUGCAUUUUUAUACUCAUGUUAACACGAGGAUUUUGCAGUGCUGAGAUCAGACUGGACCAGUCUCCUGCUGUGGUAAAGAGACCUGGAGAAACUGUGAAGAUCUCGUGUAAAAUUAAUGGAUAUUCAAUGACAAGUAACGACAUACACUGGAUCCGACAGAAACCAGGGAAAGCUCUGGAAUGGAUUGGCUGGAUGAGUACUGGUAAUAAUAAUGCAGAAUAUGCAGAGUCUGUGAAAAACCAGCUCAUCUUUACAGAAGACGUCUCAGCAAGCACACAGUACUUAGAAGCCAAGAGUCUGAGGACAGAGGACACCGCGGUUUAUUACCGCGCCUGA